AUUGAACGCUGGCGGCAGGCCUAACACAUGCAAGUCGAGCGGAGCGGCGGACGGGGGAGUAAUGCCUAGGAAUCUGCAUGGUAGAGGGGGAUAACGUCAGGAAACGGGAGCUAAUACCGCAUACUAUCAGAUGAGCCUAGGUAGGAUUCGCUAGUUGGUGGGGGAAGGGCCUACAAAGGCGACGAUCCGUAACUGGUCAGAGUGGAUGAACAGUCACACUGGAACUUAGACCCGGUCCAGACUCCUACGGUAGGCAGCAGUGGGGAAUAUUGGACAGUGGGCGAAAGCCUGAUCCAGCCAUGCCGCGUGUGUGAAGAAGGUCUUCGGAUUGUAAAGCACUUUAAGUUGGGAGGCGUUACCAACAGAAUAAGCACCGGCUAACUUCGUGCCAGCAGCCGCGGUAAUAC
rnacentral:rRNA from 1 species